AAUGAACGCUGGCGGCGUGCCUAACACAUGCAAGUCGUACGAGAAAGGGGCUUCGGCCCUGAGUAGAGUGGCGCACGGGUGAGUAACGCGUGGGUAAUCUGCCCUUGGAUUUGGAAUAACUCCGCGAAAGUGGAGCUAAUACCGGAUAGUCUGGCUUUUUAACGAAGUCGGUAAAGGAUGCCUUUGCAUAUGCAUUCGUCCGAGGCUGAGUCCGCGUCUCAUUAGCUAGUUGGUAGGGUAAUGGCCUACCAAGGCAACGAUGAGUAGCUGGUCUGAUAGGAUGAUCAGCCACACUGGAACUGAAACACGGUCCAGACUCCUACGGGAGGCAGCAGUGGGGAAUAUUGCGCAAUGGGCGAAAGCCUGACGCAGCAACGCCGUGUGAGGGAUGAAGGCUUUCGGGUCGUAAACCUCUGUCAGAAGAGAAGAACGGGCAUUGGUCUAAUAGGCCUUUGUUUUGACGGUACCUUCAGAGGAAGCACCGGCUAACUCCGUGCCAGCCGCCGCCGUAAGAC
rnacentral:rRNA from 1 species